AAAUUCCAUACAAUACCGGAAGUCGUUAGAAAAACGUAACUUAGUUAAAAACAAAUCUUUAAAGACGCAUAAAUCUCUAAAAGGUAAGCGCGGUAUAUAUGAUUGUUAUAAGAAUAAAGGUUAACUACGAACUUAAUAUCUUACAAACAACACAAUAUAUGCUCAAAUAAAUUAUUUUUUUAAGGACGCGUUCAAUCAAAACAGAAUGUUCAGACGAAGAACAUAGCAAUAAUACAGGAAGGAAAAUCACGAACGUAAGUAAGUAAAUGGCAAAUCCAAUAUUAACCAGUA